GGGCCCGCACAAGCAGUGGAGCAUGUGGUUUAAUUCGAUGCAACGCGAAGAACCUUACCAGGCCUUGACAUCCUAGGAAUCCUGUAGAGAUACGGGAGUGCCUUCGGGAACGCAGUGACAGGUGGUGCAUGGCUGUCGUCAGCUCGUGUCGUGAGAUGUUGGGUUAAGUCCCGCAACGAGCGCAACCCACGUCUUUAGUUGCCAGCAUUUAGUUGGGCACUCUAGAGAGACUGCCGGUGAUAAACCGGAGGAAGGUGUGGAUGACGUCAAGUCAUCAUGCCCCUUACAUCCUGGGCUACACACGUACUACAAUGCUACGGACAAAGGGCAGCAAGUUCGCGAGGACAAG
rnacentral:rRNA from 1 species